rnacentral:sRNA from 1 species
UCUCCCUGUCUCUCUGAUUCAUGGAUUUGUAUUUAUUCGCUUUUUAAUAAUUUGUCACAGUCAUUUUUGGUGCUCAAAACGUCUAUAUUGCAGCCAGCAGACCCCCUUGAAGCUGGCCUCCUUGUGUCUUUUUGUAACAUGCCCAUUAGUCUUUAAGCACUUCUUUGCUUUCUGGUACUAGAUAUUCCAGGCAUAAUUUGUACUUUUCCUACUCCAGUCAUGGAAUUCAGCCAUUUCCACAGGAAUCUCUGGUUUUUUCAAAUACCAGUAAGAAAGUACUUAGAAACCAAGACCUGGAAUUAGGAAAGCUAACUUCUGCCAGGGUAUUGUUGCUUUCAGAGCCUUUCAGUGGACAGAACUAAGAAAUAUAUAUAUAUAUAUAUAUAUAUAUAUUUUAUUUAUUUAUUUAUUUAUUUUGAGACAGAGUCUUGCUCUUGUCGCCCAGGCUGGAGUGCAAUGACCUGAUCUUGACUCACUGCAACCUCCACCUCCCAGGUUCAAGCGAUUCUCCUGCUUCAGCCUCCUGAGUAGCUGGGAUUACAGGCGUCAGCCACUAUGCCCGGCCAAGAAAUAUGUUUUUUAAAAAACACUUAUAUCAAUAAUUCCAAUUCAAAUUUACAUUACAGGAUUUUUGCUGUUUACUUCUUUUAUUUAUUAUACUGAAAAUCUUGGUUCCUAAUAACAUUAACAUAAUUACUUAUUUUCUUUGUCUUACAAUGUGUAAAAAUGAUUCAAAGUUAUAAUAUUAAAUAUUAAUAU